GAGCGCGGAGCGGGUUGAGAAGUGACGGCAAUUUUUUUUGUUUGUUGUUUUCAGUUAAAUUGCGGAUUGUAGUUCUGUAAUGUAAUGUCCGCUGAAAUACUAAACAUGUUUAACGUUUUAUGACUGUAUUGACUCAAAUCAAUGGCGUACUGACCAGGCUUCAUUGUAUUGUUAGCCACCGCCCAAGCUAGCUAACAAGCUGUUGUUGAAACUGCGGCACAACCAUGAAGUUAUGUUCGAUAUAGUUUUUUUUUUUUUUAAGGUUUUAUUCUUAGCUUACAGACUCGUUAUUCGCCCUGCUUUAACUUUGUCUAAAUGAUAUUUGGCACAUUUUGUCGCCAUUGUUGACACUACUUUUGAAGAGUCUUCAGAAAUCUCCUUUAAACAGACACUUUGUUGUACGAUCUAAAACAUGGAGGAGUCCAUAACAGAUAAAUGUUACAUCUGCCUGAGUCACUUCGAACAGCAAACCGUGGCCUCUCUGGAGAACUGCCAGCAUGUCUUCUGCCUUGAAUGUAUCCUUCAGUGGUCCCAGACAGCCAACACUUGCCCGGUGGAUCGGAUCAGCUUUGCCUUCAUCCACCAGAGACGGUGUCCUGGAGGGGACAUUCAAAAGAAGAUCAAAGUGAGGACACGGAGAAAGGAUGCAGAUGAUGAAGAGGAGGCGAGCGAUGCUGUCAUCUGUGAGCAGUGUGGACGGAGCGACCGCAGGCACCGGCUGCUGGUGUGCAUACACUGUGACUCAGGGUAUCAUAUGGACUGCUUGACACCAUCGAUAAACCCGGGCCCUGACGGUGACUGGGUCUGUCCUGAGUGUGCAGUCUGUCCUCAUCAUACAGACGACUCCUUGGCAGAGGAGGAAAUCAGUGAUGGAGAACUAACAGACCUCCUAGCCGAAGUUGAUGAAACCGCAGCUACCAGCAGCCGCCUUAGGUCCUCAACCAUAAAUCGUCCCAGCAGGUCCACUGAGCGACGACAAAGUGCGAGGAUCCAGAGCAGGACCAUCAGCAAUCCUAACCCGCGCCCACAAACCUCCUGGCAUGUACCUAAAUACCUGUUACAAGCAUCAAGGCCUGCGGUCACAACAGAUGAAGUGACUGCAGUUCAACACAGUGAUACCAGAAAUGCUUCGGUCAAGUUAAAUACACAGAAAAGAAAAAGGACUGUAAUUUGAGCUCCUGACACCAGUAAGCUGGGAAGACCGUCGUCACGCCUCGCAGUAGCUCAAAGUGCUCAGGUCUGAAGGGACCACAGGGUGGCAGCAUGGCGCCAGCAGUCAGGCACAACCAUAAACCUCAUGUGAAGGAACUGAACCUAAGCCUGCAGUCUGUGUAAAAUCAGUGCGGGUACCCUGGAGUGGGUGGACAUCACAGGUAGGUGGACUUUGGUGUGUGAGGCAACCGAGGUGUCAGACAGUCAAAGGCUCAGACUUCAAACAGGAAGCAGCUCCUCUGAUUGUCUGCAGGAUUCCCUCAUCCCACCUCUCUGCGCAGCGCCGAGCCAUCGCCUAGCAACACCAGCCUCAGCGAGGCUUCUGAGGGUGUCGCGCAGCCAGAAGAGGAGGCUGUCUCAGGCACACACACACUAAGAUCUGUGGUUUCUCGUCGUUUAAUAUUAAAUCUGUCCCCUGAUGUCCGAAGGUAUUGUACUGUACGUUGCAACAAAAAAUUGAAUCAUUCCACCAUCAUUGCUAAAUUUAUGUAAGACCAGGGACCAGGACAUGUGCUCAGACAUCACCUCACUCCUGCACAGUGAUCCCUGAAAUUAUAGCAAAGUUAUUGUCGGUUAUGUGUAUCCAGUGUCUGUUGAUUUGUGUGUGUGUGUGUGUGUGGUUAUCAGUGUGUGUUGUGAUUCAGUGGGCGGGGACGUAACAGGCCUGCAGCUCAUCUUGCCCUACUUUUCCCCCAAAACAACGUGCACAGAAAAACAAAUGUUCACCUUCAUUGGCCAGACAUGUUUGCUGAGCAGAAGUGUUGAAUUGAACAAAAUGUCCUGGUUGAGAAUCUGUAAGUUGGGGUUAGGGUUAAAACCAAGCGUACACAAUGAGGCACAGUUCAGCUUCUUGUUUGUUGCUUUAUUGUUACCUUAGGACCAGAGAGCAGUUACUUGACAUCAGGUUGAUUAAUAUUAAUAAUCCCUACUGUCUAUACUUUUUUUCUUUGUGAGCAGUUCUGCAUUUAAAAGUAUUAAAUGGAAUAAACCUAAUGGCUUAUUGGCUGUCUAACUUGUGUUUGGACAGUAUUAAGAACUGCUUCGUCCAGUUUUAACGAUAAUAUGACGGAUACCAAAUAUAAUUGUUCAUUCAGGAGCCUUCAUGGUCCUUAAAGGUUCAAUUCAAUUAAGUUUUAUUUAUGUAGGGCCUUCCACAAUCAAAACUGUCUCAAAGCUGGAUUUGUAUGAACAGGCUAUAUUCUUUUGCUGAUACAGCUUUUACCGUAUAAUCAUUUUUUUUUUAAAGAGCUGCUUUGCUGCUGUAAUGACGUAUGUUCACUGUCAGCAGUCAAACCCUGUGACCCUGCAUGACCCUGGUCCCUGUCGUCCUUAUACCUUGUCCUGAAGAUUUAGAUUGCUUUCUGAAUAUUUGAUACUCGUCUAGCUGACACGGUGAAACAUGCUUCCUGAAAAGUACUUUCCUUUG